GUGAAAUGGGGUGUCUGCAGUCUCUGGGCGAAGUACAGCAGCUCUGUUUGUGAGUGGUCAGGCUAGGAACAGUGACACUGAGAAGCGCGUUCAUGAAAAUUCUCAAUUUUUUUCUUUCAGGUUGGAACAUUAUCGCUAUUUUACAAGAAAAAUAGCAUAAAAAUUGAUUUUAAACAGAGUUUGACAUGCUUCGAAGUACGGUAAUGGAAUAUUUUUAAAUUCUUUGUCACGAAAUGUGCUCGCACGUCACCCUUCGGAUACUGACCUGAACGCACAAACAAAACUGAACAAAAAUUUGAAUAUAACUAUGGAUUAUUUGGAACCAAAACAACAUUUGUUGUUGAAGUAGAAGUCCUGGGAGUGCAUUCUGACGAAGAAUAGCAAAGGACCAGAGCCCUAGGACCAUGCCUCAGGACUACCUGGCAUGAUGACUCCUUGCUGUCCCCAGUCCACCUGGCCGUGCUGCUGCUCCAGUUUCAACUGUUCUGCCUGCGGCUAUGGAACCCUGACCUGUUCACCGGACGUGCUACCUGUCAUAGACCUGCUGUUUUCAACUCUCUAGAGACAGCAGGAGCGGUAGAGAUACUCUCAAUGAUCGGCUAUGAAAAGCCAACUGACAUUUACUCCUGAGGUGCUGACUUGUUGCACCCUCGACAACUACUGUGAUUAUUAUUAUUUGACCAUGCUGGUUAUUUAUGAACAUUUGAACAUCUUGGCCAUGUUCUGUUAUAACCGUCACCCAGCACAGCCAGAAGAGGACUGGCCACCCCUCAUAGCCUGGUUCCUCUCUAGGUUUCUUCCUAGGUUUUGGAUUUUCUAUGGAGUUUUUCCUAGCCACCGUGCUUCUACACCUGCAUUGCUUGCUGUUUGGGGUUUUAGGCUGGGUUUCUGUACAGCACUUUGAUAUAUCAGCUGAUGUAUGAAGGGCUAUAUAAAUACAUUUGAUUUGAUGGGAUCUACCUCUUUUUAAAAGAGGCCAUCAAAACUUUGCUUUCUCACGCAAUUGCAAAACAUAGCCUAUAGAAUGGGCGUAUAGGAACACCUAUUUAAUGCCAUGCAUUAACCUGUUAUGGCUAGGGGGCAGUAUUUUCACGGCUGGAUAAAAAACGUACCCGAUUUAAUCUGGUUACUACUCCUGCCCAGUAACUAGAAUAUGCAUAUAAUUAUUGGCUUUGGAUAGAAAACACUCCAAAGUUUCUAAAACUGUUUGAAUGGUGUCCGAGUAUAACAGAACUCAAAUGGCAGGUCAAAACCUGAGAGAUUCCUUUACAGGAAGUGGCCUGUCUGACCAUUUCUUGAACUUCUUUGCCAUCUCAUUCAAUUACAAAGGAUCUCUGCUCUAACGUGACACUUCCUACGUCUUCCAUAGGCUCUCAGAGCCCGGGAAAAAACAGAAUGUCGUCAUCCCAGCCCCAGGCUGAAACACAUUAUCGCCUUUCUCAAGUGGCCGAUCAAGGGACUGUGGGCUUAGGCGCGUGCCCUGGCUGCCCCCGUCUUUGUGAUUUUUCCUAUUUUUUCCCCUCUCUCGCUGAGCAACAGGUGAUACUAUUUCGCUCAAACUCAGAAGCCAGGGCUCUCAUGAAGUGUUUGAUUUGAUUUUGCAUUGAUGUCAGAGUGAUUAGAGGGACAAUAGAGCACUGUGUACCAAGCCAUUAGCAAGUUUGGUCAUCAGUUGCAGACCGAUCAGCAGCAUCAUAGUGCAGUUUUGGAGAAGGGUUAGAAUAAUUUGAAUGUGUUAGAAUAACGACUAAAGUGUUCCACUCUGAAAUUGUAGGAUAGUAUGAAAUGUUUGAGAAUCAUGAGAAGAUAAAACCAGGAUGUGGGUAGAUCUGUUAGUAUUGUAAUACUAUGAUGUUAUAUUCUUUAGUAGGGAUGUAAACAGAGUGAAGUUGUAGAGUAGAUUAUAGAAAAACAUGAGGG
rnacentral:lncRNA from 1 species